AAGAUCUUCCCAGUACAUUGCUGUGUGAGUGUUGUGUCUGCAGCCCCAACUGCCUGCCCAAGGAAAAGCAGUGAUGACCGUGCAGGCGGAAGCACAGACCUUUAUAAGAGUAGCCAGGUCACUUCUUCAGAAGAUUCUUCACCCAUCCCCAAGCCCUGGUUGUUCUUCAUCCUUGGAGUUACAAGCCUGGAAGAAAUAGCCUUAUUUUAAUUAUUCAAUUUUGGAAAUUUCCACAGGCUAACUUUUAACCAGAAGAUCUUGAUCCUAAAAACUCUUAUCCAGAAUAAACUGUUCUGGCAUUAUCCAAUCUGAGUCUUUAUACUAUGUAAGGUCUCUAAGGGGCCCUUUCUGGACUAGCAGCAUCAUAAAUAGCAUAAAAAUAAUAAGGCCCAUGCAUGUAGAAGCAAUUCUGGGGAUUCUAAGAAGACAAAGUCCCUCAAGUCCCUUCCUACAUCCUUAGUGGCCUCUGAAUUACUGCCCUCUGUCUAAGGGUGAGUGGGGCUUACCCUCUGCUUAGCCUCCACGGGAAGAGAAAGAUUGUAUUUGUGUUUUCACGCUGCUAAUAAAGACAUACCUGAGA